rnacentral:tRNA from 1 species
UUCCUGAUGGUCCAGUUGUUAGGACUCAGCACUUCUACUACUGGUGCCAGGGUUCAAUCCCUGGUCAGCCAA